AGGCUCCUUGAAGACGCCCGUGGUGAGAUCAGCCCCAGGUCGCCGCUUCCACAGACAGGCCUUUUCCUAAAGUGGAUGAAGGGAGUCAAAUAGGCCAGCUUCGUGUCUUGAUCUGCCUUUGCUGUCAUUCACGCAUCUGUCCUCAUGAAGGCUUAACCUACCAUGUUUAUCAGAAAUCUCAGCCUAAAUUCAUUCGAUUUUUACCUAGAGAUGAGGAAUGUGUUAAAUCACUCUACUCCACAAGGAACCAAACCAAACAGCAUCAGCACCAGGCUGAGUCGCGGAAAGGAUCUGUCAGACCGCUCCACUGGCAUCGACUCAGCUCGGGAGCUACGUUCAAAGAAGGAGGACAUUUAAGGUGAAAGGGUUGCAGGCAGAGGGGCCUGGAGCAGCAGGAGGCCACCUCCCAAAGGCUCCACUCCCAGGGGCCAACAGAGAGACCACAUCCAGAAUUGAACCAGGGAUACGCAGACACCAACGGAGAAGACAUGAGCGUCAACCUCCUCCACGGAGCAGCACGGCUUCUCUACUGACAUCCAUGAACUAGACUACAACUCUCUAAGUUAAUCAAAUUUACUAAGUUAGUUAUCACCGACAUCACUGUUCCAU
rnacentral:lncRNA from 1 species